rnacentral:lncRNA from 8 species
GAGUUAGGUUUUAAAUCAUAUUUUAUUACUUUGUGGCUGUGUGUCCUUGCUCUGAAGUACAUAUUGAAUAUCUGCCUACCACUUCUUCCACAGUCUGUUAGAUUCUCUGAAAGCAUAGAGUUCAACUCCUCUUAUCAUUCAACACUGAAUCAGUUAAAGACCAGUAUUACUCAUCCACACAGUCAUCAGUCAGUCAGCCAUUCAGUCAGUCCUCAAUCAGUCAGUCAGUCAGUCAGUCAGUCAGUCAGUCAGUCAGUCAGUCAGUCAGUCAGUCAGUCACUCAGUCAGUCAGUCAGUCAGUCAGUCAUCAGUCAGUCAGUCCUUCCUCAGUCAUCAGUCAGUCAGUCCUUCCUCAGUCAUCAGUCAGUCAGUCCUUCCUCAGUCAUCAGUCAGUCAGUCCUUCCUCAGUCAUCAGUCAGUCAGUCCUUCCUCAGUCAGUCAGUCAGUCAGUCAGUCAGUCAGUCCUUCCUCAGUCAGUCAGUCCUUCCUCAGUCAGUCAGUCAGUCCUUCCUCAGUCAUCAGUCAGUCAGUCAGUCCUUCCUCAGUCAGUCAGUCAGUCAGUCAGUCAGUCAGUCAGUCAGUCAGUCCUUCCUCAGUCAUCAGUCAGUCAGUCAGUCAGUCAGUCCUUCCUCAGUCAUCAGUCAGUCAGUCAGUCAGUCAGUCCUUCCUCAGUCAUCAGUCAGUCAGUCUUUCCUCAGUCAUCAGUCAGUCAGUCAGUCAGUCAGUCCUUCCUCAGUCAUCAGUCAGUCAGUCAUCAGUCAGUCAGUCCUUCCUCAGUCAUCAGUCAGUCAGUCCUUCCUCAGUCAGUCAGUCCUUCCUCAGUCAGUCAGUCCUUCCUCAGUCAGUCAGUCAGUCAGUCAGUCAGUCAGUCAGUCAGUCAGUCAGUCAGUCAGUCAGUCAGUCAGUCAGUCAGUCAGUCAGUCAGUCAGUCAGUCAGUCCUUCCUCAGUCAGUGAGUCAGUCACUCAGUCAAAGUGCUGACACUAGCAAUAAACUUAUUUAG